AGCCAGUCCAAGUGCAACAGUGUUUACAAGUAAUUGAUCACAACCAGUUACAGAUUCCUUUGUUCCUUCUCCACUCACACUGCUUCACUUGACCAGCCUUAA
rnacentral:Y_RNA from 1 species